GCAACAGUGGAGCGAGCACAGGCCAGAGGCACCAAGACGUUCCUGGUCCAGCCCCGAGUGAUGGUGGAUAAGCCAAGGUCAGGUCCCCCCGCUUGUCCUGCAGUCGUUUCAUCACGACAACUUGCUUGGUGACCUGAGCACUCCUUCAUCUCUGCGGCCAGAGCAUCCCCUUUAUCCCUCCGUUCUCUCUGGAAGCUCUGGAAGCUCUGCCUCGGCCUCAACUGCAGAUGGGGUGGAGGGAGGAGGGUAGCGCCCGGCCUGAUCAGAGCCGGAAGCCCAGGGGCACUCAAGCCCUGGGCGCACACCAAGCUCUAUGCCCACCUCCCCUGCUCUCUUCCCUCUUCUCGCUAGGUCUCCCCCUCUUGGUCUUCCACCCCCAGACACAGCUGGGAGGUGAUGAUGAGGUUAGGGUGGAGGCUCGAAGCCUCUGUCUCACCCACACUGCUGGCUCCUGGUCCCUUGCUGGUGACAGUGGCCUUGACAACCCUGGGCUUCUUCCUCCCACGGCAGCCUGAUACCCAGGGAGGCCAGAGAGGUCGACAGGAAUAGUCUCCGUGUCAUUAUUCUGCCUUCUGCUGCCUCAGAAGCCAGAGCACCAGAGCCAGCCCUCGCCCGGAGGGAUGGAACGAGACUUCCCUGUACAUCUCACCAGCUGGAGCCAGCCUGUGUGCCCGUGUGUAAACUAAUCGUAACCACAAGGGAAGGGGAUUAUUAUGACAGCCUUAGGCCAGUAUUGAUCCAUUGCCUGGGGCUGGGCAUACCAUCCACUGAGAAUGAUUCCGGCUCCAUCUCUAAACCAUCACGGUUCUAUGACUAAUAAGUGUGGGGGCCCCGCGCAAGAGUGGGGACAUCUUAACCCCUGCACAUAAUCUGCCUAGACAAACCACAACUACGGACAUUCAGUUCAGGCCUCCGCUCUGCAGGGCACCAUGCUGAGUGCUGGGGACAAAAAUGCAAAGACCAUAAAACAGAAUUCCUUACCCAAAGGGCUGUAUCAUCCCAACAUGUUACCUACACGGGACGAUAAUGUAAAACUACAGAGAAUUGCACAGUUGACUCCAAGUCAGAGAGGAAGCAUUAUUAGUCAGGAUAGACCAGGUUAUGCCAAAGAAACAAAUAACCCCUCAGAUUUAUUUGCCCCACACUAGGUCGCCCUCACGGUGGACGGGAGGUUAUAUUCCGUGGCCUUGUGCUCAAGCCAGAACCCAGCUUGAUGGAGCAGCUGAUAUCUGGAUAUUGCUGAGCCAGAGGGAAAGACAGAUCCAAAGGGUUUUGAAUUAGCAAUUGAAUUCUUGGCCCAGAAGUGAAAUGUCUGACUUCCACUUCCACCUCAUUGGCUAAAACUGGUCACAUGGCCCCAUCCAACCUCAGAAAGCCAGGAAGUGAGAUCCUACCAGAAGAUAUGCCAGAAGGCAGGGAGGCAGAGAUAUCUGGUGAGCGGCGUAAAGACUUCCAGAAAGCAUGAAGACGGAUGACAUUUGAACCGAGCUUUGAAAAACACUUUAGUCUUCAAUAAACGAAGUUAGGGUCAAGGGAGAGGAGCUGCCGAAUAGAGAGCCGCAUCAAGGAAGUCAGGGAGGCCAGGAAGGGCCUGACCCGUGUGACCAGAGCCCGGCCUCAUGCAGGGGGCCCCGUGCGGAUUGUGCAGGAGCGUGAUCUCCUUGAACCUUCACCACAGCUCUUUGAGGGGAGUGCUCAUCGUUGCUGUUUGUCAGAAGAGGAAACGGGGAUGGAGGAGGUGAAGCAACCUGCUCAAGCUCACAAACCAGAAAAAGAAGGAGCUGGGUGGGAACCUAGCUCUCUCUGGCCCCAAAGCCCCUUCUCUUUCCACUGCUGUGGAGCUUCCAGAGAAGGGACUUGGCCUAGGAGCCGCAACGCCCGGAGGGAAGCCAAGCUAUCCUGACUCCUGAGACGCCUUCGACGGUACCAACAGGCCUUGCCACUCCAUGUGUGGGGGGCACCUCACGUCCAGCACAAGGACAGUAGAUGAUGCAGCAUUGUCCCCAUUUCACAGGCGGGGAAACAAAAGUCCAAAGAGAGUAGAUGGCCCGCCCUGGGCGCUGCAGGUGGUGCACAGAGCCGAGAUGCACCCCCGGUGCAUGGGACAGCAGAGCCCAAGCCCUGCGGGCCCUCCUGGCUGAGGCCUGCAAGCCUCCUGGUGGCCCUGGUGGCAUGGGGUUGGGGGCGAGAUGGGAAUGAGCCGGCUGGCCUUUCUGGCUGAGUCUAGAAAAUGAGCUGUGGCUGCCGGGCCCGGGCGGAUCUGCUUCUUCCUAGCACACCCCCCCCAAGCGAGAGGGGCACAGACGGGCCCCAUCAAUCUCGGCGGCAGGGAUGCAGCGGGGCAGGAGCCCAGGAGGACGGCAAGCACGGGGGGACCCAGGGACGGCUCCCUGGGCCAGGCCGCCCUGCAGCAGCUCUUCCUCCCAGAGCCGCGUGGACAAUCGCAGAGGAAAACCAGGACAUUCCCCCCCACCAGGAUAUUUUGUAUGCUUUGCACUUGCUGCUGUGUUUCCUUCAUCUAAAAGCUCUAAAAUUUCAA